UACGGAGGGGGCUAGCGUUGCUCGGAAUCACUGGGCGUAAAGCGCACGUAGGCGGCUUGUUAAGUCAGAGGUGAAAGCCUGGAGCUCAACUCCAGAAUUGCCUUUAAGACUGCAUCGCUUGAAUCCAGGAGAGGUGAGUGGAAUUCCGAGUGUAGAGGUGAAAUUCGUAGAUAUUCGGAAGAACACCAGUGGCGAAGGCGGCUCACUGGAGCUGGUAUUGACGCUGAGGUGGCGAAAGCGUGGG
rnacentral:rRNA from 1 species